GGGUCGUGGCGAGGAGGCCUCUGCUUCAUGGCGCCCAGAACAUGUGGGCAAACACCUUGGAAAGCCAGGGUGGAAGCUCUUCCGAACUGAUCAAUGAU